rnacentral:lncRNA from 1 species
GGUGAUAAAUCCCAUGGCAACUCAUUAGAUGCUUCAAGUUGUAAGCCCAGUUUUAAAGCACCUACAGCAAAAUCUCCCUCUCGCAUGCUGAUAGGAUUCUAGGGUUUUGAUUAGAGAAUUAAGAGAGAAUAGAUGAAGAAUUUAAAGAGAAGGGAGAAGAAUUAAUAGGAAUUAGAAUUAAUUUUAUUACUUCCCUUCUAAAAACAUAAUAAGAACCACUUAUUUAUAGUAGUUCAAGACAAUCCUAAUUGUAAUUUAAUAAGGACUUUAAUUGAAAUAAGAAAUCCUAAUACUAAUAGGAAAGAAAUUAAAACAAGCAAUUAAAAUAAAAUAAACUAUUAGAGUCCUAACAUUCCUUGCCCCUUAAAACAGGCUUGUCCGCAAGCCUUUUACCCAGUCUCAAUAACCGAGAUUUUCCAAUCCGAAUGAUGGUCAGGCGUUGGAGGGUUGUGAACAGGUAUAUCAGCGUCUAAAAGCAAUAGGUGAGGUUGUUUGCAGCGAUGCCCAGGCUUGAAUUGCUCGUCACAGUUAAAACAAAGUCCUUUAGAACGUCUGUCCGCCUGCUCAAUUGAGGAUAAACGUUUGACAUUAUUAGGUAAGGCAGAGGGAACCGGUCCUAAUAAAGAUGGUGCUGGUGGAGUAGGAGUCGAUUGUAAUUUUGUGAUUGGAUCUUGGAGGGCAGGAAUGGGGGAAUAAUUGCCUUGUAAAGUAAUUGCCUUUUCCUGAAAUCUAGCAAGUUCAAAAGUUUGUAGGAGACUAACAGGUUUGAAUAGUUGUACGCCAGCCUUGAUAUCUUCACGUAACCCAGAGAGGAAACAACUAAUGAAGAAAGGCUCUGUUAAAUUACUAGUCCGAUCAGCCAACUUUUCAAAUUGUCGUUGAUAGUCAAGAACAGUCCUUGUUUGACGUAGUUUGGUAAGGCUGCCAACGGCAUCAUUCUCUUCUAAUGUCCCAAAUCGAGUAGUCAAAGCCCGUGUAAAUUGCGCCCAAGUCAUUUCGCCCACAGUCUGCUCUAGCCAAUGAAACCAAGGUACCGCAUCACCAUCAAGAUGGCCAAUAGCUAAAGACAAUAAGUCAGCAUCUGAUAAUCCAAUAAGGCGACGAUAUUGCUCACAUCGAAAAAUCCAUCCCGUUGGAUUGUCACCAUGAAAAAUAGGAAAAUCAAGGCGUAUGUUACGAGCUUGCACGAGAGUACUUCCAAUGCGUUCAGUAGGUUCAAGAGGGGGUUGGGUAGCAAUUACCGUUUGAGGAGCAGAGGUCCCGCCAGUAAAUAUAUUAACUUGUCGUUGAUCAGUAACUGGGUGUUUGCCUUUUCGUAGCUGACUCAAUUGCUGAAGGAUGCCGUGCAUGAGUUCCUGCAAAUCGUUAUUCUGCUUGGCUAAGGCUGUAACCUUUUCAUCGAUGGCUGUAAACUUGUCAUGAAAUUGUUGUGACAACUGCUCAACUUUGCCUUCAAGCUCCUUAACAGUCAUGAUGCCUAAAAGUCUAAAGAAAAUUCACGCUUGGUUGAAAAAAUUUAGAUGCUGGAAAAAGUUUGGAGGGUGGGCCCGGUUCAAGUCUCCAAAAGCCAAGAGAUAUUGGCAAAAGUUUGGUUGUUGGGUUUUUUUUUUUUUUUUUUCAAAUAGUGAACGAAAGAAAAAAAAAUGGUGGCAGGAAGGAUGUGCUCUGAUACCAGAUGAUAGGAUUCUAGGGUUUUGAUUAGAGAAUUAAGAGAGAAUAGAUGAAGAAUUUAAAGAGAAGGGAGAAGAAUUAAUAGGAAUUAGAAUUAAUUUUAUUACUUCCCUUCUAAAAACAUAAUAAGAACCACUUAUUUAUAGUAGUUCAAGACAAUCCUAAUUGUAAUUUAAUAAGGACUUUAAUUGAAAUAAGAAAUCCUAAUACUAAUAGGAAAGAAAUUAAAACAAGCAAUUAAAAUAAAAUAAACUAUUAGAGUCCUAACACAUGCUCACUUUUUUUGGAACAUCCCCUGUUAAAAUUUCGUCAAAAUUUCAAACCAGCUCCGGUUCAGAUAGAGCUAUACAAGGGAGUUCCUGUUAGAUCAGCUACAGGAGCUGGGGAUUGAGUCCUUAAAAAGUCUUU